UCAUUUGCACUAUAGAGCGUCUAUAAUGUAAGUGAUAGGCCUAUGAAUGAAUUUUUUAUUUGAUCAUUUAUUACUCUCUCUUUCAUUUGUUUCAGCCAUCGCCAUAUCAGACUUUUUUCGUACACAUUACUUCGAUCAUCAUGCCACGAGUGAUGCCAGCCGCAUUUCGAUGUCUCUGUAACACGCAGAAGGGGCACCGAUGCAAAAGGAAGACAAGGCACCCAACAAGAAUAUGCCACCAACAUCGGAGAAACUUCGCCGACGAUGCCGCAAUGGAAGCUUUCAUCAAUAUCCGACCCCGUCGAUGUUUGGCGAUGACUUUAAGAGCCGCCCAAUGUAAACGUAAUGGAAUUUUCGUUUUCGGCAACGCAUUGCAUGAUUACUGCAUGCAACAUUGUAAGUAUAAUCAUUAAUCUAAAUGGUGGACAUGUCAUCGAUUUCAUUACAGUUGUGUUUAUGGUGGGUUUUUUUUUUG